CUUUCAUCUGCCUAAGAAACCCACAUUAGUGUGAUAGAGCUUACAAGAUGCUAAUGGCACCUCAGUUUCCAGGACAGUCUCUGCAGACUGCUUUCACUCAGCAGGCAGGCUUCCUUUCAUGAUGGCUGCCAGUAACAGCUACCCCUCAUUUACAUCCAGCAGAGAUGAGGGGUAUCUCUUUGGGGAGUUCAUGCAAAAAAGUAAGAAAUCUUCAUUCUUGAAGCCCCCCCUGGAAAUUGAUGUCAAAUCUAUCAAAACAGAGUGGCUAGGAAAUCCACGGAGGCCCUAUUAGGAAUGGGACCAGGAAGCGGAAGCCAUUAAGGCUACCAACA
rnacentral:lncRNA from 1 species